UACGAAGGGGGCUAGCGUUGCUCGGAAUUACUGGGCUUAAAGGGUGCGUAGGCGGUGCGGAAAGUUGGGUGUGAAAUACCUCAGCUUAACUGAGGAACGGCGCUCAAAACUACCGUGCUCGAGGGAGAUAGAGGUGAGCGGAACUUAGGGUGGAGCGGUGAAAUGCGUUGAUAUCCUAAGGAACACCGGUGGCGAAAGCGGCUCACUGGAUCUCUUCUGACGCUGAGGCACGAAAGCUAGGGUAGCGAACGGG
rnacentral:rRNA from 1 species